UGAAGUUACUGCUUCAUCUAUAGAAAAACAAUAGCUUCACUCCUUCACUUUAUUAAAUAUAUGGUUGCUAAAAUUGACUUUGUCAAAGAGGCUUUCAGAACAAAGAUGCAGUGGUAUUUAAAGGUGCGAGUCAUGAGAUUCUGGAUUAUUCCUGACCGUGAAAAGGAAGACAAAACACCAUUUCCAUGGAGAUGGUGUUGCAAGACAAAAAGGGAGAUAGUAUCCACAUCACUAUUGGGAGAUAUGUUAUGCGUUUGUUCAAGGAAAAAAUAAGUGAUUUAGGUCUAUAUACUAUGAAAAAUUUCGUGGUUGGUCCAAAUACAUUCAAAUAUAGGACCACUAAACACAAGAUGAGGUUGAUGUUCACAAACAGAACAAUUGUUGAAGAAAUAAAUUAUACAAUCUUUGAUACGAAUAUCUUCAAUUUACGGCCUUAUAAACACUUGAUUGACCAAGUGGAUGUUGAUGAGAACGAACUGUUCGAUGUCAUUGGUGAGAUUGAUGGCCAUGGGGGAGUUCAAUUGCACAACCAAAUUGGCAAGAUCAGUGUUUUCACGAAUGUUGAGCUACACGACCACGAGCUUACCAGUAUUUAGGCUACAUUUUGGGGUGACUUUGUUGAAAAAAUCACUCCAUAUUUGGAUGGAUCCAGCGCUGAUCCAAUCAUAGUUGUUAUGCAGUUCAUUCAGGCGCAUAAAUUUCAAGGAGGGAAACUUUUGGAUAUAUGCGACCAUCAUUCAUAUAGAAGUGGAGAAUCAAUGGUCAUAUAUGAUCUGCAAGAAGUGCACUAAAAAGGUUGACAAACUUGGAAAUAAGUUUCAUUGUAAGAAAUGCGAUCGCCUGGAUCAUUCGGCUGCUUAUAGAUAUAAACUUCAAUUGAGAUUAAUGGAUGGUACAGGUUUUAUUUCCUUGUUGCUUUGGGAUCGCGAAACAACAAAGCUCAUAGGGAAGACCGCUACUCAAUUGAAAGGACAUGUAGACGAGGUAUGAUAUUGACGUGUUUCAGGUAGGUGGUCACAUAAUUUACCAUAUUAGGAUGUGUUGAUGCUUUCCAAUUUGCAUAUAAACUCUUUUUUUGGGACAAUGAUGAUAAAACAGAGCAUUCUGUGUAAAAACUUUGUUGAUUACUUUUGGUGCUCUACACAUAAUAAACUCAUUUAUUUUUGUUCAAUUGAUUCUAUAAAUUUAUAAAAACUGAUAGUAGGUUUGGGGUGCGGAUGCACAGACGGUUGUUAGCCAACCAUUUUUCUCAGCUUCUAUAAGUGUUGUCUCGUGGGUCGGAUGCUUUAAAAAAGUAUUUUUGAUUGGAUCUAGCCUACAACUAUAGGCAGUUAGCGAGCCAUUACACUCGGUAUCCAUAGAUGUUGUUCUACAUUCAGAUACAACGUUUAGCAGAACUUUUGAAUAGUUCAGACCAAUAUAUAUAACUCGGCCUCUAAUUAAGUGAUUUUUUAUUUUAUGUACUGUGAGAAGGGUGAAAUAAGCGUCGUUGCUGAAGAAUAAUUUCUCAAGGAUCAUUUCCUGUGAUUUGGCUCUUCACUUUAACAUGGGCAUACUUUUAUAUCUAAAAGAAUAAGUUUCACAAAUCAAGUAUUUCUGUGUCUAUUCGUCACUCCAUGUUUGACUAUGAAGUUUUUGAUUUUUAUUGACCUGCUUGGACAAGCAAGAAUGAAUUUGAUUUCAUCAGCUUUAAGGGUGCUCAACAGGAAAAAAAAUACAAAGUGAAAAAUAGAUCCCAAAUUUCCUGAAGGAUCUAAUACGACGUUUGAGACAAAGUAGCUUCAAGUUUUCAAUGAUGCCAAAGUGACAAAUACAGUAAAUUAGAGUUUAAAACGAGUAGCUUUUCUUUCUCUAUUGUUUUUAAACGAGUAGCUUUGCUUCCUCUAUUGGUUUUACUUUUGAUAAAACUGCAAGUACAUGCAAAUCUUCUUUAUAUUGGCCAAAUUUCAUUAUGCUGCAUGAGAUUUAUCACUACAUCUAUGGCGAUCUUUCUUUCCUGAUAAAGAUGGAACUCCAUCAAUAUUUUAUCAAUCAUGGAUUUAAAAAUUAUACAAACACUAGGACAAAAUAUUUUACACCCUUCCUGCAGGCUGCUUAGCUCAAAGAAGGAAUUACUGGAAGUACCAUAGACAAUGUGUCAUUAACUGAGCUUAGAAUUGUGUAGAAGACCCAAAAACAAUGUGUCAAAUUCUCUACAUCUUUUACUCGUGAUUCCUCCUCUUCCAUCACCCUCCUUAUAGAUUGAACUAAAGUGUGCUAAUUUAUUUCAGACCAAAAUGUAGAGCUCGACCUCCAAUUAAAUGGUUUUUUAUUUUAUGUACUGUGAAUUUUAAGGCCUUUUGAGCUUUUGCUAAUAAUGAUACUUCAUUUGUUAUAAAAAAAAUCAAAGGACUUUAAAGCAGAAAGUAGAAUUCCACUAUCGGGACAAUGAUAAAACUUUAUAGUGAUGUAGUCAAAUGCAGGAUCAACCAGCCUUUAUAUGAUUUUCAUUACCCCUUUCCAACUUUACAACCGGUAUGGAUCAAUUUAUGAAUCUCGUGGGUCGGAUGCUUUAAAAAAGUAUUUUUUAUUGGCUCUAGCUUACAACUAUAGGUAGUUAGUGAGCCAUUACGCUCGACAUCCAUUGAAGUUGUCAUACAUUCAUAUGCAAUAUUUAGUAGAACUUUUGAAUAGUUCAGAGAAAAAUGUAUAGCUCAGCCUCCAAUUAAGUGGUUUUUUGUUUUAUGUACUUUGAGUUUGAAGGCCUUCGAGCUUUUGUUGAUAACUAUCCUUAAUUUGUUAUAAAAAAAUCAAAGGUAUUUAAAGCAGAAAGUAGAAUUCCACUAUCGGGACAAUGAUAAAACUUCAUAGUGAUGUAGUCAAAUGAAGGGUUAACCAACCUUGUAUGAGAGUCAUUACCCCUUUCCAACUUUAUAGUAGGUACAGACCAGUUCAUGAAUCUUGUGGGUCGAAUGCAUUAAAAAAGUAUUUUUUAAUUGGCUCUAGCCUAUAACUGUACGCAGUUAGCGAGCCAUUACUCUCGGCAUCUAUAGAUGUUGUCACACAUUCAUAUGCACAUUUAGCAAAACUUUUGAAUAGUUCAGACCAAAAUAUAUAACUCGGACUCCAAUAAGUGGUUUUUUGUUUUAUGUACUGCGAGUUUGAAGGCCUUUCGAGCUUUUGCUGAUAACGAUCCUUCAUUUGUUAUAAGAAAAAAUCAAAGGUCUUUAAACCAGAAAGUAGAAUUCCACUAUCGGGACAAUGAUAAAACUUCAUGAUGUAGUCAAAUGAAGGGCCAACCAACCUUUAUAUGAGUUUAUUAGCCCUUUCCAAGUUUACAGCCGGUACGGAUCAGUUCAUGAAUUUGCACGGAAUAAAUAUUUCAGCUAGACUAUAUUACAAAUUGUUGGAGUCAUUUAUAUAUCAUUAUUAGGAUAUCCCCUUUGACUUGCUAACCAACCAUUUUUCUCAGACUCUAUAAGUGUUGUUUCACGGGUUGAAUGCUUAAGAGAGAGUAUUAGAAUGGAUCGCACCUAUAUGUAUAGCCAAUUAGCUAGCCAUUUUGCUCGACAUCUGUAGAUAUUAUUGCACAUGUUUCAGAUGCAUCAUGUUACAAAACUUUUAAAUAGCCAGGACAAUGUAUAGCUCGACCUCCAAUUAAGUGGUUUUUUAUUUUAUGUACUGUGAGUUUGAAGGCCUGCAGAGCUUUUGCUGAUAUCGAUCCUUUAUUUGUUAUAAAAAAUAUAAAGGUAUUUAAAGUAGAAAGUAAUAUUCCAAUAUCAGAACAACGAUAAAACUUCAUAGUAAUGUAGUCAAAUGCAGGGCCAACCAACCUUUAAAUGAGUUUCAUUACUCCUUCCAACCCUGCAGUCUGUACACAACAUAUGGAUCUCUAUGGAAUAAAUGUACCAAAAAUGAUAUAGUCUUAGUUUCAGUCUUCAGAAUAGAACUCAGUUCAGUUCUACAGAAAUCAGGACUGUUUGACAUAGUCACUCAGUUCAGUACGAAACUCAGAGUAGUUUCCACAAGAAUCAGGGCUGUCA